UACAUAGGUCUCAAGCGUUGUUCGGAUUCAUUGGGCGUAAAGGGUGCGUAGGCGGCACGGUAAGUCGGGUGUGAAAUCUUGGAGCUUAACUCCGAAACUGCAUUCGAUACUGCCGUGCUUGAGGACUGGAGAGGAGACUGGAAUUUACGGUGUAGCGGUGAAAUGCGUAGAUAUCGUAAGGAAGACCAGUGGCGAAGGCGGGUCUCUGGACAGUUCCUGACGCUGAGGCACGAAGGCCAGGGGAGCAAACGGG
rnacentral:rRNA from 1 species